AGAUGACCGCGCUGACCGCUGGGCUGGUGGUGACGGGGGGGGGGACAAGCCCGGUCUCUCAGACAGUCCCUCCUUCCUGCAGAGAAGUCUGCCCGCCGGGGGCAGCGACAGACCUGUGCCAGGGCCUGGGGUUCGGCUUGGAGCUGGGUAACAGAUGGGAAAACAAAGGCUGAGAGAGGGAGAAGCAACAGCCUGAAGUCUCCAGGUCGGCAGCAGCCCCGGGCCACUUGUGUGGACAAGGCCAGUGAGUGCGCUCCCUCGUGGGGACUCGGGGAAGGACGUGCAGUUAUGGCAAUGUCACCUGCGUUCAGCCCGAGGGUGCUGGCACGGAUCAGGCAGCAGGCAUACUUCCUGGUGUUGUUCACGUGGUCCUCCCUCCCAGCGCCUCAGGGUGGACACAUGAGCUGUGGCCUCUCAGAGCCCAGGCCCUGUCCCAGGAGGACCUGGAGAGGGACCGAGAGGCACCCGGAGCCUUUCCAGAGCUGUUUCCUGAGCAGCCACGACGGCCUGGGUAAAGGCACACCAGCCUCGCUGGGUGCUUCCUGCAAACACUUCUCCACCAGAGGAGGUGCAGAGUGACGCACCAGCAGUCUUCACAGGAUGGGCAGGGCCUCAGAAGCAAUCCAGCACUGGCAAGGGCAGUUCUCCUGGGGCUGUCUGGGGUUGGGUUUCCUUUCUCCUGUGCAUUUUAUUUAAGAUAACUAGACGCAAAUUUGAUGCUUUUCCCCCUAAACCUACAGUCAGGAGCCCAGGUGGGAAGAUGUGGGAGCACAGAAUCUAGACUCAAACUGACUCAGUUCAGGACUUUCUUCUGCACCGCUUGGGCAAAUCGCUUGAACUCUCCCAAACUACCUGCCUGAUCUAGUAAUACCCAAGGCUUUCAGGGUACAUAAACGGUGUAAGUCAGGAACACUCACACCGUGCGGGGCACAAGCAAGCUCCCAAUCGAUAUCUGUUGCUAUUAUUGCCUCCGGAUCAGCUACUUUCGUGUUCGGUCUCCUAGCAGAAGGGAAACCACCCAAGUCCUGUCAGAAACUUCCAGUUUCUGAGUCAGCUGCUGCCCACCAUUGCUCAAUAGUUCAGCUACAAACUGAUCUAAAACUGAAACACAAAGCCUUCCUCAAGGUUCCCCAGUGACUGACUGUUGUUUCCCUAUUUACUUUUGUGGGGUCCCAGAUUCAAGGGCUGAUAGAUCACCCUAACCACUGAGACUCAGAUGCUCACCCCUUCACCCCAGGAGAUAAGACGUCGCUGGAGAGGGAGAAGGAGACAUUGCUGUUUUCUGUCCAAGUUUUCCCCAAGCCAGUGACACAUGAGCCUCCCCAGCUCAUAUAUUAUUUGGCCUAAUUACCGGUGAAUGUCAAUCCAUGAAAUCAAAAUAUUCCUAAUGAUUUAGAAUUUUGUUUUCAUAAAAACUAAACUUAAAUGGAGUGUUUGUCCCUCGUGACUUGCGUUGGAAGACACGCCUUGUGAGCUGUGAGCUGGGGGGCUUCACUAGUCACACACAGAUCAGAGUUAGCUCAGCCAAGACCGAGGGGCACCACGGGCGUGGUGGACUCGGUGGAAAGAGAGCAGCAGCGCACCCCGUGGCCUGGGGCCCACCCUGUCCAGCCCCUCCACCCUGGGCAGCGAGGUUCCCUGAGGCGUCUCUUAUGCGCCCAAUAUUGGCCUGCAAGACGACACUGAGGGAGAGUGGACCUUGCCCGGGAAGAACAGGACGUUGCUGAUCACAAACUGCCCGUGUUUCUAAUCACAGUGCUGCCACGCCGGGUUAGACCAGACCACAAAGGAGACUGCGGUGAACGUUGCCCCCGCCGCGGACUGGGGCUGACUUCUGCCCGAUCUCCUCACUACCAAGGGCUGCUCGGUUCUCGGUUCUCCUCCUCCCGGCCCCAAGAUGGAUGAGCGUGUCCGGUGCCCCGAGGGGAGGCAGAGCAGGG
rnacentral:lncRNA from 1 species